rnacentral:rRNA from 1 species
UACGAAGGGGGCUAGCGUUGCCCGGAAUGACUGGGCGUAAAGGGCGCGUAGGCGGCUUGCACCGUCAGAUGUGAAAUUCCUGGGCUUAACCUGGGGGCUGCAUUUGAUACGUGUGGGCUUGAGUGCGGAAGAGGGUCGUGGAAUUCCCAGUGUAGCGGUGAAAUGCGUAGAUAUUGGGAGGAACACCGGUGGCGAAGGCGGCUACCUGGACCGGUUCUGACGCUGAUGCGCGAAAGCGUGGGUAGCAAACAGG